GACGAACGCUGGCGGCGCGCUUAACACAUGCAAGUCGAGCGAAGCGGCGGACGGGUGAGUAACACGUGAGUAACCUGCCUUAGACAUUGGGAUAGCCUCGGGAAACCGGGAUUAAUACCAAAGGGUCUAAGAUGGACUCGCGUCCCAUUAGCUAUUUGGUGAGGUAACGGCCCACCAAGGCGACGAUCCCUAGCUGGUCUGAGAGGAUGACCAGCCACACUGGAACUGAGACACGGUCCAGACUCUACGGGAGGCAGCAGUGGGGAAUAUUGCACAAUGGGCGCAAGCCUGAUGCAGCCAUGCCGCGUGUGUGAAGAAGGCCUUCGGGUUGUAAAGCACUUUCGCUAUCGAACGGGUAGGUGGAGAAGAAGCGCCGGCUAACUACGUGCCAGCCGCCGCGGUAAUUC
rnacentral:rRNA from 1 species